CCUACGGGGGGCUGCAGUGGGGAAUUUUGGACAAUGGGGGCAACCCUGAUCCAGCCAUUCCGCGUGAGUGAAGAAGGCCUUCGGGUUGUAAAGCUCUUUUGUCCGGAGCGAAACGGGCGGCCCUAAUACGGUCGUCUACUGACGGUACCGGAAGAAUAAGCACCGGCUAACUACGUGCCAGCAGCCGCGGUAAUCCGUAGGGUGCGAGCGUUAAGCGGAAUUAGCGGGCGUAAAGCUGUCGCACAGAUGUGGAAUCCUCGGGCUCAACCUGGGAAUGGCAUUUGGGACUGCAAUGCUGGAGUGUGGCAGAGGGGACUAGAAUUCCUGGUGUAGCAGUGAAAUGCGUAGAUAUCAGGAGGAAUACCGAUGGCGAAGGCAGGUCCCUGGGUUAACACUGACGCUCAUGCACGAAAGCGUGGGGAGCAAACAGGAUUAGAUACCCCAGUAGUC
rnacentral:rRNA from 1 species